rnacentral:rRNA from 2 species
UGCAGUCGAGCGGAUGAAGGGAGCUUGCUCCUGGAUUCAGCGGCGGACGGGUGAGUAAUGCCUAGGAAUCUGCCUGGUAGUGGGGGAUAACGUCCGGAAACGGGCGCUAAUACCGCAUACGUCCUGAGGGAGAAAGUGGGGGAUCUUCGGACCUCACGCUAUCAGAUGAGCCUAGGUCGGAUUAGCUAGUUGGUGGGGUAAAGGCCUACCAAGGCGACGAUCCGUAACUGGUCUGAGAGGAUGAUCAGUCACACUGGAACUGAGACACGGUCCAGACUCCUACGGGAGGCAGCAGUGGGGAAUAUUGGACAAUGGGCGAAAGCCUGAUCCAGCCAUGCCGCGUGUGUGAAGAAGGUCUUCGGAUUGUAAAGCACUUUAAGUUGGGAGGAAGGGCAGUAAGUUAAUACCUUGCUGUUUUGACGUUACCAACAGAAUAAGCACCGGCUAACUUCGUGCCAGCAGCCGCGGUAAUACGAAGGGUGCAAGCGUUAAUCGGAUUUACUGGGCGUAAAGCGCGCGUAGGUGGUUCAGCAAGUUGGAUGUGAAAUCCCCGGGCUCAACCUGGGAACUGCAUCCAAAACUACUGAGCUAGAGUACGGUAGAGGGUGGUGGAAUUUCCUGUGUAGCG